GCCUGGUGGUUCCUAGAGUCAGCUCCAAAGUGCUGAACUGUGGGGUUUUUUUGACAGGCGCACAUUGACUCUGCGAUUUCAUGCAUGGGAGCUGUCAUUAUCGCGGACUUCCAUAGCCCGGUUGCAGAUACAUUC